GUUUUUGUUUUUGUUUAUUUCUCUGUUCAUUGUCAGCUGCUUUUCUCAAAUUCCAGGCCAUUAUCCAGCAAACACUAUAAAAAUGUUUGGACAUUUGCAUUUCAAACAUUUUCGUUUUGUGGAGUGGUGCUUAUCAAGUGGUACAGCUCUCGAAGCAAGUGAACACAUACAUAUUUAAGUGUAUUUUGUAUGAUUAGAGGUUACCAACUCUGAUAUUUUAUUCAAAAGCCUAAAAAAAAAAAAAAUAAGUUGACUAUUCCCUUUACCAAAGGGCCAGAGACAAUGCUUUCCUUUCAAGAGAAGUGACUGUUUGGAGAAAAAAUGUGUUGGUCUUAGUUCUUUUGUAAUUAAAUCUGGAUGUACCUCAAAAGACUCUUUAAGACUGUGGUGUUAAAGGCUUUCCUCUGGAGAAAGGAGGAGAAAGGAGAAGAAAAAAAAUCAACUGGAACUUAAAAGCUUGAAAUUCCACAACAAAACACAGAUGUCCAGGAUUGAAGGUUCGUGAAGUGUUUGCAGUAGUUGGAGCAGAUACACUUUUCUGUGUAGCUGCCACUGUGGACUCCAGGUUUCCAGAUUUUCAAGAACUGGAUCUGUGACCCGGAAGAGCUUGUCAAGAUGUGGCAGCAACUCUGGAGGUAGACGUUUUUUGUUUUCAGUUUUGGAACUGUUGAUCUUGCUGUGAGUAAAGAGGCAACAAGUCACCAAGCACUGCCACCAGCACUGUUAUGGGGAACUUGAAGACCUGAGUUUCUGUCCAGACCCUCAGUGCAAACUGACAACACUCCAUCCAAAGUGAACUACGUCCUGUGCCUCCUGAUUGCUGAGUGCUCACCUGGACCCUCUGAUGACCUUCCUUCGGCUAGUCCAUCAGCCUGCAGACCUGGUACCUGGAUUUUUGUCCAUGGUGAUUCCUACCACCUUACUACUGAAGAAGACACCAUUCCAUUGGACCACUGUGACCCAAGAAGCAUUUAGCCAUCAUGAUGUGACCUUUAACCUCCACUCCAGUUCUACUCUGCUCAGAUUCAGCACGGCCCUUUAUAGUGCAGUCAAGAGUCUUCAAGCCAAAUAACUGAAGCUAUUUUAUCACAACAAAGGCCAAGUUUAUUCCAUAAAUAUGUACAGUUCAUUUCUGCAGUUAAAAGUCUUCAGAGACACAUAGUAAACUUGGACUGGGGGAUUUUGUGUUUUGUUCUUAAAUUGUCAACACUGUCUGAAAAUGGCAUCAUCUCUGAGAACAGCAUUGGAACAUAUACUCCACAAUCUCAAAUGACUGAAGUUUAAUGAACUGCCUAGGAUCCUGUCAAGGUCACUGGACUCUUGUUUUUUUUCCUACUUCAAAUUUGUAGCUGUCUACUGAAUGAGAAAACAGAUAUUCUGACUCACUGGGAUCAAAACCAAGGCACAUUGAAUUCCGCAUAGUACCAUCUUUGGGUUACUCAGGAACCAAAACUUUUCAUGCCAAUUUAAGAAAUUCUACUAAGGAAUCCCUUUACCUAACCAUCUGAUAAGGCUUCAACCAGAUUCCGGAAAAGACCUCUUGACACAUCAAGAUAGAAACUAUAUGCAUUAUGUGAACAACUUACCCUAUCACUGGUUUUCCAAAGGCUUUAUGUUGACAAAGGCCUUUGAAGGAAAGCUAUGUGGAUGUCCAGAGUAAAGUGAAGCUGCUCUGGAUGAAGUAGUGAAGCAGAAGUAGGGAGUCUGCAGCCUGCCACAGCUAUCUUCCUUUACCAUCAUGGUAACAUCUAAAGGGACUUCCUUAUGUAAAAUUCUUCAUAAAAUACUGCUUGAAACCACUGCCCUAGACAACGUUUGAUCUGGAGGACAUUCUGACCUUUUAUGUACUUUCAACUCUACAUAUUCAGUUGAUGCUGAUGAACGUUUGGAGAUGGGUAUGCCUUUUGUCCAGAGAACAAUCAAACAGCGUUGUCAAGUGAAAUUUUAUUAAUAGCAUUCCAUCCAAGGUAGACUUCCUGGAGUUGGAUAUAGCCAGAGAACAAUUCAUGUAUCAUUAACUGUGAAAGUAUGUGAUUUAGAAAUCUUGGAACAUGGAUAUGCGAAUUGCCUGAAAGCUGGUAUUGAAGCUGAUGCCUCAUCAAGGCCAUCUUAGACCAAGUUGUUCGUUUCGCCUCUCCUCAUUAACUAUGGUACUCCAUGUAUAAAGGAUAACCAUUAACUAUGAAGCAAAAUCCAAAUACAGUUUUUCCUAAAGGGGCUUGCAACCUGGUUAUCAUUCAUUGUCUCAAAUUCCAAGUCAUGUGAUUGAGCUAGUAAUUAAACUGCACCAUGGUUUUAUGUAACAACUACUGUUUCCAAGGGUUAAAAACAAAUAUUAAAUUCCUCCAACACUUGUA